rnacentral:rRNA from 1 species
AGUUUGAUUAUGGCUCAGAUUGAACGCUGGCAGGAUGCUUUACACAUGCAAGUCGAACGGCAGCACGGACUUCGGUCUGGUGGCGAGUGGCGAACGGGUGAGUAAUGUAUCGGAACGUGCCUAGUAGCGGGGGAUAACUACGCGAAAGCGUAGCUAUUACCGCAUACGCCCUUCGGGGGAAAGCGGGGGGACCUUCCGGGCUCACACUAUUAAGAGCGGCCGAUAUCGGAUUAGCUAGUUGGUAGGGUAACGGCUCACCAAGGCGACGAUCCGUAGCUGGUUUGAGGACGACCAGCCACACUGGGACUGAGACACGGCCCAGACUCCUACGGGAGGCAGCAGUGGGGAAUUUUUGGACAAUGGGGAAACCUGAUCCAGCCAUCCCGCGUGUGCGAUGAAGGCCCUUCCGGGUUGUAAAGCACUUUUGGCAGGAAAGAAACGGCACGGGAUAAUACCCCGUGCAACUGACAACCUGCAGAAUAAGCACCGGCUAACUACGUGCCAGCAGCCACUUGAUAAUACGUAAGUGCAAGCGUUAAUCGGAAUUACUGGGCGUAAAGCGUGCGCGGCGGUUCGGAAAGAAAGUUGUGAAAUCCCAGAGCUUAACUUUGGAACUGCAUUUUUAACUACCGAGGCUAGGUGGCUGUGUCAGAGGAGGUGGAAUUCCCGUGUAGCAGUGAAAUGCAUAGGUAUGCGGAACACCGAUGGCGAAGGCAACCCUCUGGGAUAACACUGACCGCUAUGCGGCGUGAGGCAAACCGGGAUUGAAUACCUGGUAGUCGCCUAAACGAUGUCAACUAGCUGUUGAGGCCUUCGGACUGCUUGAAAGUAGCUGACUAACGUGCGUGAAGUUAGCCGCCUGGGAGUGAUCGCAAUUAAAACUCAAAGGAAUUGACGGGGUUCGGCAGUGGAUGAUGUGGAUUAAUUCGAUGCAACGCGAAAACCUUGCCUGCCCUUCGGUAUGUCUGGAAUCCCGAAGAGAUUUAGGAGUGCUCGCAAGAACCGGAACACAGGUGCUGCAUGGCUGUCGUCAGCUCGUGUCGUGAGAUGUUGGGUUAAGUCCCGCAACGAGCGCAACCCUUCAUCAUUAGUUGCUACGAGGGCACUCGUGAGACUGCCGGUGACAAACCGGAGGAAGGUGGGGAUGACGUCAAGUCUCGGCCUGCCAGGUAGGGCUUCACACGUCAUACAAUGGUCGGGACAGAGGGUCGCCAACCCGCGAGGGGGGAGCCAAUCCCCGACCCGAUCGUAGUCCGGAUCGCAGUCUGCAGCUCGACUGCGUGAAGUCAGAAUCGCUUCAAUCGCGGAUCAAUACGCGGUGGUCACGUUCCCGGGUCUUACCACCGCCCGUCACACCAUGGGAGUGGGUUUUACCAGAAGUAGUUAGCCUAACCGUAAAGGAGGGCGAUUACCACGGUAGGAUUCAUGACUGGGGUGAAGUCGUAACAAGGGUAA